rnacentral:tRNA from 1 species
GCGUUCGUGGUGUAUCGGUAACAUUGGGUCUUCCCAUGGCCUAGCACCGGGUUCGACUCCCGGCGGACGCA